rnacentral:rRNA from 1 species
AUUGAACGCUGGCGGCGUGCCUAACACAUGCAAGUCGAGCGGUAACAGGUGUAGCAAUACAUGCUGACGAGCGGCGAACGGGUGAGUAAUGCUUCGGAAUCUACCCAAUGGUGGGGAAUAACCAGCCGAAAGGUUGGCUAAUACCGCAUACGUCCCACGGGAGAAAGCAGGGGAUCGCAAGACCUUGCGCCAAUGGAUGAGCCGAAGUCGGAUUAGCUAGNGGUAGGGUAACGGCCUACCAAGGCGACGAUCCGUAGCUGGUCUGAGAGGACGACCAGCCACACUGGGACUGAGACACGGCCCAGACUCCUACGGGAGGCAGCAGUGGGGAAUAUUGGACAAUGGGGGAAACCCUGAUCCAGCGACGCCGCGUGUGUGAAGAAGGCCUGCGGGUU